UACGGAGGGUGCAAGCGUUAUCCGGAUUCACUGGGUUUAAAGGGUGCGUAGGUGGGUCUGUAAGUCCGUGGUGAAAUCUCCGAGCUUAACUUGGAAACUGCCAUGGAUACUAUAGAUCUUGAAUACUGUGGAGGUCAGCGGAAUAUGUCAUGUAGCGGUGAAAUGCUUAGAUAUGACAUAGAACACUAAUUGCGAAGGCAGCUGGCUACACAAAUAUUGACACUGAGGCACGAAAGCGUGGGGAUCAAACAGG
rnacentral:rRNA from 1 species